UGAGGCUGGAGGAGGGGGCCUGUGGUUACAUUCUGGCACUGUACUUCUGAAUUUUGAUGAUCAUCUGUUGAAAAAUCACAUGGGCUAUUCUGUGUCAUCACUGCUGUCUCUUCCUUUUGGCAGGAACAAACACACAGUAUCAACACUGUACAGAUAUGCUUUAACCCAGCAGAUUAUUUCAGUGAGUUUGAUGUUGGUGGAGGUUGACAUGUUCUUAUAGGUACAGGGAGAAGUGAGACUCACAGGAAUGGAUAAUUUGAGGAAUGAAUUAGGAAUGCUGAAAAUUUUGCUGGGAUGAGAGGCCUGAGAUAUUGUUAUCUUGGAUAUGGAGCACUGUUGCCAUAGGAAGGUGACAGCGGCACGGGCUGGAGCGACCAGCUGGUGCUGUCAGGAAGAGCAAUGGGCAAGAGCUUUGCUUCAACAAACCCAAACUGUGGUCACAUCUGUGUGCUCAGCCUUUGACCUGGAGAGACCUACUGGGUUAUGCAAGUAAAGUAAGCACGUUUUUGCAUGGCACACCCCAAGUGCAGCUGAUGGUGCACUUCUUUGGGGAAGAUCCCCAGUCCUGUCCACUGCUGUGGUCCACAGAGCAACAUCUGCAAAGGGCAAGGCAAGAGCAGUUAAUGAGAAAAAUGACUGCAACUUAAAUCUGUGAGAACAUCCACUACCCUAUGCAUGUUCCUAAGGUGCAGUUUAUGGUGAGGCAUGGGGAUUCUGCAAUAAGAAGCCCCAGGAAUCUCAUGACCACAAGCAGCAGAGGCUUAUGUUGUUUAUACCUUCUAAACAUUGCUCUUCCAAUAAGACUGCCAUGUUGACCACUGCAGUGAGGGAUGUGUUCAUUCAUAUACACCGGCUACUCCAAACCACUGCCUUUCCUGAAGACAAGUAUUAUGUGGAGAGUUUCUUUACCCACCUUAG
rnacentral:lncRNA from 1 species